rnacentral:rRNA from 1 species
CCUACGGGAGGCAGCAGUGGGGAAUAUUGGACAAUGGGGGGAACCCUGAUCCAGCCAUGCCGCGUGUGUGAAGAAGGCCCUCGGGUUGUAAAGCACUUUCAGUGAGGAAGAACGCCUGGUGGUUAAUACCCAUCAGGAAAGACAUCACUCACAGAAGAAGCACCGGCUAACUCCGUGCCAGCAGCCGCGGUAAUACGGAGGGUGCGAGCGUUAAUCGGAAUUACUGGGCGUAAAGCGCGCGUAGGUGGCUUGAUAAGCCGGUUGUGAAAGCCCCGGGCUCAACCUGGGAACGGCAUCCGGAACUGUCAAGCUAGGGUGCAGGAGAGGAAGGUAGAAUUCCCGGUGUAGCGGUGAAAUGCGUAGAGAUCGGGAGGAAUACCAGUGGCGAAGGCGGCCUUCUGGACUGACACUGACACUGAGGUGCGAAAGCGUGGGUAGCAAACAGGAUUAGAUACACGUGUAGUC